CGUGUGUGUGUGUGUGUCUCCCCUCUCCCCACUCCCCUUAUUUCACGCGAUCUGAGGACGGGUUCUCUCCCUCCCCUCCCUCACUCUCGCGCGCGCUCAGAUACGAUUUACACCAGGUUUACGGAAGCAAGAAAAGUGUAAUCAUCGGCAGUGUGUUCUUUAAUUUGUCUGAGGAAGUGAAAAGUGAAAAGUGUUUGUGAAAGUAAGAAAUAAAAGUGUGAAUUGAGGAAAUCGUGAAAAAAGAUAAGUGGUUAUUGGAAAAGGGAAGUGAGAUAACAGGGUAAAGAGUGUAAAAAGGAGAGAAAUAGAAUAUAAAUCAGUGAUGAAGUGAAGAAAGUUAGACAUAAUGAGAAAAUAAGCAUAGAGAAAAAGUAAAAAAGCAAAGAAAAGAGAGAAUAAAGUCCUCCAAAUAUAUAUAUUUUGAAAAAUAAUAAUAACACCAAAAAUAAUCGAUAAAGAGCAAGCAACCUUCAAUAAAACCUACAGUAUUUCAAAGCAAAAAAUCUUCACAUACCCAAGAAAUCCAAAAUUUACCUCGUCAGCCUUCAAGCAAGUCUUCGGUCAUCGCAGGGUCCCGGAUGAUUGAGUGACGUCACGCCAGCCAGCAAGAAACACCUCGUGUCAACGCCAUCUGUGAACAGGUAA